rnacentral:rRNA from 1 species
AGUGAACGCUGGCGGCGUGCUUAACACAUGCAAGUCGAACGGUGAAGCCCUAGCUUGCUAGGGUGGACUAGUGGCGCACGGGUGAGUAAUAUAUAGGUAAUCUGCCUUGCACUGAGGAACAACAGUUGGAAACGAUUGCUAAUACCCCAUACUCCAACUUUACAUAAGGUAAGUUGUGAAAGUCUUUUCGGUGCAGGAUGAGACUAUAUCGUAUCAGCUAGUUGGUAAGGUAAUGGCUUACCAAGGGUAUGACGAGUCACUGGUCUGAGAGGAGGAUCAGGCACAUUGGAACGGAGGCACGGUCCAAACACCUACGGGAGGGAGCAGGAAGGAAUAUCGUGCAAGGGGGGAAACACUGACGGAGCAACGCGGCGUGAAGGAUGACUGUUUUGGGAGAAUAAACUCCUCUUGUUACGGAAGGAUAAUGACGGUACCGGACGAAUAAGCACCGGCUAACUACGUG